AUUGAACGCUGGCGGCAGGCCUAACACAUGCAAGUCGAGCGGAUGAAGGGAGCUUGCUCCUGGAUUCAGCGGCGGACGGGUGAGUAAUGCCUAGGAAUCUGCCUGGUAGUGGGGGAUAACGUCCGGAAACGGGCGCUAAUACCGCAUACGUCCUGAGGGAGAAAGUGGGGGAUCUUCGGACCUCACGCUAUCAGAUGAGCCUAGGUCGGAUUAGCUAGUUGGUGGGGUAAAGGCCUACCAAGGCGACGAUCCGUAACUGGUCUGAGAGGAUGAUCAGUCACACUGGAACUGAGACACGGUCCAGACUCCUACGGGAGGCAGCAGUGGGGAAUAUUGGACAAUGGGCGAAGGCCUGAUCCAGCCAUGCUGCGUGUGUGAAGAAGGUCUUCGGAUUGUAAAGCACUUUAAGUUGGGAGGAAGGGCAGUAAGUUAAUACCUUGCUGUUUUGACGUUACCGACAGAAUAAGCACCGGCUAACUUCGUG
rnacentral:rRNA from 1 species